CCUACGGGGGGCUGCAGUGGGGAAUAUUGGACAAUGGGGGGAACCCUGAUCCAGCCAUGCCGCGUGUGUGAAGAAGGCCCUCGGGUUGUAAAGCACUUUCAGUGAGGAAGAACGCCUGGUGGUUAAUACCCAUCAGGAAAGACAUCACUCACAGAAGAAGCACCGGCUAACUCCGUGCCAGCAGCCGCGGUAAUACGGAGGGUGCGAGCGUUAAUCGGAAUUACUGGGCGUAAAGCGCGCGUAGGUGUCUUGAUAAGCCGGUUGUGAAAGCCCCGGGCUCAACCUGGGAACGGCAUCCGGAACUGUCAAGCUAGAGUGCAGGAGAGGAAGGUAGAAUUCCCGGUGUAGCGGUGAAAUGCGUAGAGAUCGGGAGGAAUACCAGUGGCGAAGGCGGCCUUCUGGACUGACACUGACACUGAGGUGCGAAAGCGUGGGUAGCAAACAGGAUUAGAUACCCUUGUAGUC
rnacentral:rRNA from 1 species